GACGAACGCUGGCGGCGCGCUUAACACAUGCAAGUCGAGCGAGAACCAGGGCUUCGGCUCUGGGGACAGCGGCGAACGGGUGAGUAACACGUGGGUAGUCUGCCCUCGGCACCGGAAUAGCCCGGGGAAACCCGGAUUAAUGCCGGAUGGCCCACCCGCCUCUCGAGGCGGUGGGAAAAGGUAGCUUCGGCCUCCGGCCGAGGAUGAGCCCGCGGCGGAUUAGCUUGUUGGCGGGGUAACGGCCCACCAAGGCGACGAUCCGUAGCUGGUCUGAGAGGACGAUCAGCCACACUGGGACUGAGACACGGCCCAGACUCCUACGGGAGGCAGCAGUGGGGAAUCUUGCGCAAUGGGCGAAAGCCUGACGCAGCGACGCCGCGUGCGGGAAGAAGGCCUUCGGGUUGUAAACCGCUUUCAGGAGGGACGAAGCCACUCGGGUGAACAGCCCAGAGGGUGACGGUACCUCCAGAAGAAGCCCCGGCUAACUACGUGCCAGCAGCCGCCGUAACAC
rnacentral:rRNA from 1 species